UACGUAGGUGGCGAGCGUUGUCCGGAUUUACUGGGCGUAAAGAGCGCGCAGGCGGUCGUUCAAGUCGCGUGUGAAAGACCCCGGCUCAACUGGGGAGGGUCGUGCGAUACGGGCGGACUGGAGGCCAGUAGGGGGAUGCGGAAUUCCGGGUGUAGUGGUGGAAUGCGUAGAGAUCCGGAGGAACACCAGCGGCGAAGGCGGCAUCCUGGACUGGUCCUGACACUCAGGAGCGAAAGCCAGGGGAGCAAACGGG
rnacentral:rRNA from 1 species